rnacentral:rRNA from 1 species
AUUGAACGCUGGCGGCAGGCUUAACACAUGCAAGUCGAACAAGUGGCGGACGGGUGAGUAAUGUCUGGGAAACUGCCUGAUGGAGGGGGCUAACUACUGGAAACGGUAGCUAAUACCGCAUACCAUCAGAUGUGCCCAGAUGGGAUUAGCUAGUAGGUGUGGUAAUGGCUCACCUAGGCGACCAUCCCUAGCUGGUCUGAGAGGAUGGCAAGCCACACGGGAACUGAGACACGGUCCAGACUCCUACGGGAGGCAGCAGUGGGGAAUAUGGCACAAUGGGCGCAAGCCUGCUGCAGCCAUGCCGCGUGUGUGAAGAAGGCCUUCGGGUUGUAAAGCACUUUCAGCGAGGAGGCGUUACUCGCAGAAGAAGCACCGGCUAACUCCGUGCCAGCAGCCGCGGUAAUAC